rnacentral:rRNA from 1 species
AAAGUCCAAGGGUUCCUGCUUAAAGCUAAUCUGAGCAGGGUGAGCCGACCCCUAAGGCGAGGCCGAAAGGCGUAGUCGAUGGGAACCAGGUUAAUAUUCCUGGGCCAGGAGGAAGUGACGGAUCGUAGCUGUUGUCAGGCCUUAUCGGAUUGGUCUGGCCUCGAAGCGGUUCCUGGAAAUAGCCCUCCAUGAGAUCGUACCCUAAACCGACACAGGUGGACUGGUAGAGCAUACCAAGGCGCUUGAGAGAACUGCGUUGAAGGAACUCGGCAAAAUGCCUCCGUAACUUCGGGAGAAGGAGGCCCGUCUGCGGGCAACCGUGGGCGGGGGGCACAAACUAGGGGGUGGCGACUGUUUACUAAAAACACAGGUCUCUGCGAAGCCCAAAGGCGACGUAUAGG